UACAGAGGGUGCAAGCGUUGCUCGGAAUUAUUGGGCGUAAAGGGCAGGUAGGUGGUCUGCUAAGUCUGGGGUGAAAGCCUUGAGCUUAACUCAAGAAGUGCCUUGGAAACUAACAGACUAGAGUACUGGAGAGGGUCGCGGAAUUCCCGGUGUAGCGGUGAAAUGCGUAGAGAUCGGGAGGAAUAUCAGAGGCGAAGGCGGCGGCCUGGACAGUUACUGACACUCAACUGCGAAAGCGUGGGGAUCAAACAGG
rnacentral:rRNA from 1 species